AUUCAGAUCACCUGGGGCUCCUGUUGAAAAGCAGAUUUUGAUUCUGGAUCCAGGAUGGCCCCUGAGGUUCUGCAUUUCUAAUAAGCUCCAGGUGACACUCAC
rnacentral:pre_miRNA from 1 species